rnacentral:rRNA from 1 species
GGGUCAGUAGGUUGGUCGUGCCACCGGUACGUACUGGUCUCACUGAUUCCUCCUUCCUGAAGAACCGUAAUGCCAUUAAUUUGGUGUUGCGGGGAAACAGGACUGUUACUUCGAAAAAAUUAGAGUGUUUAAAGCAAGCUAACGCUUGAAUACAUUAGCAUGGAAUAAUGAAACAGGACGAUCGAUCCUAUUUUGUUGGUUUCUAGGAUUGACGUA